rnacentral:lncRNA from 1 species
ACUCUAAUGCAUUAUAUAUAAUGCUCCAACUAAAAUGUACCCAAUUCUAGUAUAUUUAGGAUUUCUACUCCAAUUAAUAUCUAAAUCUAUCUUAAUUAAUCUCUAGUAGAUUUAAAUANAUUUCUACUCCAAUUAAUAUCUAAAUCUAUCUUAAUUAAUCUCUAGUAGAUUUAAAUAUUAAUCCUAAUCUAGUUAGGUUUAUCCUCUAAUUAAUAUUUAAAUCUUAAUUUAUCUCCAACAGAUUUAAAUAUUAAUUAUUAUCCAAACAGGAUUCAAUUACAAAUCUAACCAAAUCUUAACAAUCUCUACCUUGGUUGGAUUUGUAAUUUUCAACCGUCACGUCGAGCUCACCAUGCAAGCUCCACCUUGAGCUUGUCUCCUCCGCUCGAUGUCGCCGUAUCCGCCGCUCCGCCUCGAGCGACUGCACUUCCGCGAACUUUUGGAACCCAAACCGUCUUUGCUUUCGUUCUGACUGUGCUCCCGUUCAGAACGUACAAGUUCCCACGCUUGUUCGCCUCGCACACGACCCGAUCUCGUUUUCGGACCCUCAUAGCUCCACCUGAAGCCGAAAUAUCGCAACCUUUUGAAUCCAAUGCGCCUAACGAGAUCAAAUUCCGCUUCAAUCCAGGAACAUGCCGCACACCUGUCAGCGUCCUCACGACCCCAUCGUGCAUUCGGAUUUUCACCGUGCCGACUCCCAAAACUUUGCACGUCGUCCCGUUCCCCAUUAGAGCUUUUCCACCUUUGAUCGCCUUAUAGGUUGCAAAAGACUCUUUCUCCGGGCAUACGUGAAAAGAACACGCCGAAUCGAGCACCCACGCAUCAUCCGAAAUUUUCGCACCUCCGGUCGCCGCAUAUAGCACAUCAGAAUCGAACAUCUCCGACUCUGCCGUCUGUGUCGUCGCUGAUACCAUCUCGUCCUGGUUCACGACAAUUUUCUCCUUCUGUCGCUUUAACUCCUUGAGAUUAUCCUGAAGUUUUCGACAGUUGCGCUUUAUAUGCCCUUUCCUGUGAUAGUAAAAGCACUCCACCUCGGAUAGCGGCUUCUUCUGUCGAUCUCCGGUCGCCGAUAUUCUCGCCUCCUUCUUCGCAGUCACCACCAGUCCUACAUCCUGACUUUGCGUGCCGGCCUCCCAAGUCAUCUUCCGCAUCUCGUUCGAGAGAAGCACCGCCGUAACCGUCUCUACGCUUAUGGUCUUAUAACGACCCAGCCCACUAGCAACAAUAACUCGUUGGGCCCCAACCACCGGCCCAAAAUGCUUAAGCCCAGUUAUUAUUACUAGUGUCUAAGUCUCUUAUAAACCCAAUGACAACCCCAUUCCCAUCCGAUAGACUAGGGUUCACAGACUCCUCCAGUUAAGUGCCCGACGUCGCAUCGUCAGUCCACACACACAGCCCAGAUCACUCAGGCCGUAUGUAGCUCGCUCGCUAGCGCCUCGCAUCCAGACCCUAGCUCAGCCGAGACUUUGCCACACAUGUCCAGCUGGUAACCGCUCUGAUACUCGAAAAUAUCUACGACCCAGCCACACUAGCACAAUAACGAUCGUUGGACCCAACCACACGGCCAAAAUGCUUAAGCCCCAGUUAUUAUACUAGUGUCUAAGUCUCUUAUAAAACCCAAUUGACAACUCCCUUCAUCCGAUGUGGGACUAUGCGGUGUCACAGUCUCUUGCCAUAAAGUAACGUGGUCCCACAGAGGCCUAUGUCGCCGGUAGCGAAAAGAAUAGUUAAAAUCAACGCUCUUAAUCUUCGUCAUCCAGAUUGACUCCGAUGCUAUCACUGGGCCACACACCUUGUAAAACUCUUCAGGAUGCUCAUGUACGCUUGCCGCUUUUUUGCAUCCGUGAGCAUAAACAGUCCGUUGCCUCAGAUACAAUGUUCGUCAAGGAUUUGGUCAUAUACAAUAUCUUUCACCUUCUUCCUAUAAUUUCGCCGGUGUCCUUCUCGUCUGGUACCGUGUAAAGAACCUCAUCCGCUAAAUAAGUAGUGAAAUGCGUACUCAAGCGCCUUCCGCUCCACCUUCGUCCAAUGCCGCAUUCCAUGACCUCCGCCGCUCCGCCUCUUCCCGUUCAAACGCUCUGCUAAUCCUGCUUACGGAUCGCUCGUGACUUUAAUUUGCACAAUCCGAAAUUGUUCUUACCUGUCGAACUUCUCGAUCGAAUUCGUGCCCAUCUCGUUCGAUCUCUCCCUCAGAUCGGAUUAACCUUCGCUCUGAUAACCACUUUUGGGAAUCCGUACUCGCCCCGGUACCGAUCUCGUGAAUCCCAACCCGCUCCGAUACCGACUUGCGUGCGAAUCCGGUACUGAUUGUUGGAAUCCGCAAUCGGAAACGCAAAAACGAGUUUAUACUCGAAACAGCCGUUUCCUCAGGUGCAAAAAGCUUUUCUCGUCUCUAUAAACCCAUAAAGAAAACAAUCCUUCACCAUGCACCCUUGCACUAGUCACUCAAAGCAUAAUAAAUAACUAAUCUCCUUUCUUUUCUGCUUCUCUGGUACGGCAAACCCAAGAAGACUCUCUCUCUCUCUCCGUACACCACCAAAAAAAAAAAAAAAAGACUCUAAUGCAUUAUAUAUAAUCUCCAACUAAAAUGUACCCAAUUCUAGUAUAUUUAGGAUUUCUACUCCAAUUAAUAUCUAAAUAUAUCUUAAUUAAUCUCUAGUAGAUUUAAAUAUUAAUCCUAAUCUAGUUAGGUUUAUCCUCUAAUUAAUAUUUAAAUCUUAAUUUAUCUCCAACAGAUUUAAAUAUUAAUUAUUAUCCAAAUAGGAUUCAAUUACAAAUCUAACCAAAUCUUAACAA